rnacentral:snoRNA from 1 species
ACCCACCGGAUUCCUUCCCCAUCAGGAUCAAGCACCCGUCGCGUGGCUAUCGAAAGAGGAAGAGUAAAAUCGAAACUGACUUCAAUUCUUUUGUGACACGUGAGCUAGUUUCGAGCAAAC